rnacentral:lncRNA from 1 species
ACUACCUCUCAGCGUGAACCCUCCACCCCAUCUCUCUGAAAAUGGCCUUACUUUUUUCUUCAUGGUCUGGGUAGAAUUGGUCGAAGGGCAACUGCUGCUGUCCUGGGGAGGGAAAGAGUCUUCUCCAAAAGGACAGACGGAAGCAACAAAUGGGAAGGAAACUGACAAAGCUUGUGAAAUCCCAAACCGGAUUGAUGUGCUGUGACCCCUGUAGCAUUCGGGCUGUCAAGAUUAAAGGAGCCUCCACUCUGUUUCGAAACUGCAACUCUUGUCCCCCAGACCUCAUCAACCCCACCUCUUGUUUUUGUUUUUGUUUUGUGUUUUUGGCCACAAGUCAACCACUCAUCAUAAGGUGGGCAAACCCCUCGGUCCACAUUUAAAUUUGUUUGUGUGACAAAUUGUCCUGCCGUUCCACCCUCUUAGCUACUGUAACCAGCACCAGAGAAACAAUGAAUUACGAGAUUAAAGUUACCGAAAAACGACUCAUCCUGCA